UUUUCUUCUAUCUUUCAUUUUUUCAAUUUUCCUCGAGCACUUUCGAUUUCACCUCUCUCCCCUCUCCCUUCUCCGUCUUCUUUCUUCUUUGUGAAAAAAACCUAGAUUUUAGACCCGCGAAACCUCCUUCAAUCUCUCUCAAGGUUUCUCAAUCUCCUUUUGUAUCUCUUUUGAACGGGAAUCAAACGCUGAGGUUUGAUGAUUCAGUUAACUAUGGAACAGAGCCAAAGCUUGCCAUGAAACCGGAGUUCCCAAUCUAAACAUUCGAGGCUGCUCUCGGAGAUAGGGUCUAGUUCGGGGCUCGAGGUCAAGAUGCAGGUGGCCGAUCUCAAUAGCUAAGUCUUCUUUCUUCCUCUAAAAUAUUUUUGUUUCUUUUAUUGAAAUGUGAUCGUCCUGUCAUGUUGUUGUGAGUGAAAAACUGGUUUGUAUGGAUGAUUUAUGAUGCCUAGGAUUGAUAGUGAAAUGCUUUAUUGGGUAAGGUUGCGUGAGAUUAUGCAGUCUUUAUUUUAUGAUUGGGGGAGCCAAAAUCUCGAAUUAGAGUUUCUGAUGGGGUUCUGGUCUCGGGUUGAAGACGAGCUGACUCGUCUCGACCCGGUGAGUUAGUGUCCGGGUUGACUCGUAUGAGUCCAUCCGAGUGAGUGACAAGCUUGGGUAAACCUGAGUGGGUCUAAUGGGCCUGAGUGGGGAAGUGGACCUGAGUAGGGAAGUGGAUCUUGUGCGAGAAUGGGCUUAGUGAGAACUAUAAACCAAAAACGGGCCGGCGAGUUUGUUGUGAAUUAAGAGUGGACUUCUGGUUUCACUUAAAGCACGGAUGGGCUAGGGCGGUUUCAGUUGGGCUUGGGUUUGGUUUAAGACACAUGAAUGCUUCAAGGGUUGUUUGAAAUGGGCUUAGGUUGAGCUAUAAAUAGGCUGGCCUGGUUUAAAAUUUAGGAAUGGGUCGGGUUUUUAGAUUGGCAAUCGGGCUCCGAGGAAGUGCCUUGGACCUAAAACCGAACUCGGGUCAGGAUGGGGGGUUGUGUUGUUAGGUUCGUAUCAGGAUCCGAAUUAGGAUCUUGGUUUUGUGAAAUGGGUUUAGAGUCUAAAAUCAAGUUUGAAUAUUGGAAUGGGAGUUGGGGGGGGGGGGGGUUGUGUUGUCAAGUUCAGAUCCAUAUCCGAAUUCGGAUCCGGGUUUGGUGAAAUGGGUUUGGAGUCUAAAAUCAAGUUUGAAGACUGGAAUGGGAGUGGGGGGUAUUUGCAGUCCAACUCACACUCAACAUGGCCCUAUAAGACUCAAGGAGAGAGCCUCGAGGGUUUUACCUUGCGCUCAGUAGGGCAUCAGGUUCGAGUGUGACUCGGAUCCCAAGGAGGAUCAUACCUGCACUUAAUUGACGCAAUUUAUAUAAAUUGAACAAACCAGCAGUGAAUGAUCUGUAUUUUACCUUUCCUUCGCACUCCUCCUUUCUCUUUCCCGGUUUGUAGAGUCUCCCCUCUGAUUCUUUCUCUCUUAUCUCCUGCAAUUUUUCUCUAUACUACCUUCUUCCCAAUUUUCUCUCAAAUCCAGCAGAGUGUUACCAUGUUCUCCUUGUGUGUCUGAAUCUCUGGUCUGGUUCUCUAGCCCUGCUUCUUCUAGCUUCUCGGAGAUUUGGCAGAGUGUCCCUCUCUUUCUUUUUCUAUUUUCCCAACAUUUCUCUACAGUCUCUGUUCCUCCCCUUUGCGGUGUGCGAGCACUCCUACUUAUAGGGAGGCUGUGGGGACCUUUGGCACAAAAAAAAAAUUCUCUACUAACUGAUUCCCCCAACUUAUUCUCUGCGCUGGUAGGGAAUUUUUCCCAACUGAUUUCAAUUUUCUUUGUGCGCACAUGUAAAUUCAUUUGCUUUAUUUUUGAUUCUCAGUUAACUGACCCUCUCUAUUCUUUUCUUUUGAGCACUGACGAACAUGGAAAGUCCAGGUGGUGGCUCCAGGAUGGAGGGCUUGGUAACUUUAUUUUUGUUUUUGCAUUUUCUUUUUCUAUUACCACUAAUUUUAUUCUUUCUUUUCCAUGCAGGUGGAUUGGAUGAUCCAGUCGAUAGUUGGCGAUUAGAGAGCUGGGCAUUUUUUUUAUUUUUGUAUUUUUAUUCAUUUUAUUUUUUUGUAAUUUUCAUGUACCCCUGCUUUUUCCUACAACUGUUAUUUGUAAACCCUUCUAUUUUGUACUUUUCUCCUUUUCCAUAUGUAACUUUCCAUUGUUCAUUGUUUGCCUAUGUAUGUACCCCAACGAGGGCACCUGCCCAUCCUAAUGCAUGAUUUCACAUUUUAAUUUUGACCUAA